CUUGAGGCUGCUAUUAGACUGGUCUUCCAAAUCAUGUUAAAGUGGUAACAUGUGUUCCACGCAGUGCUGGAAUCCACACAACUGGCCAGCUCUGAACUCCACAAUCAAUCAUCACUCGCCUCCCUUUGCUAUACAGCUGCAGUGAAGCGGUCCUGAGCGAUGGAAUGUGACAGAUUUGAACAUUACAACAUUAAACAAAGAAUGCAAUGACUCUGAGACACACAGGAAAUGCAAUG